UUAUUAUAAGGGCAUUAUAAGUAUUAUAAAACAAGUAUAUUCCUGUAAUACAGACUGUGCUGCUACAUCAACUGAGGGUUUGGGUUGGGCAGGUAGUCUAUUAAUUAAAAAAAUUUUGUUUAUAUAUAUACAAACAAAAUUUUAUUGAAACUUUAAGCAAUGAAGAAAAAAUAAUUAUAACAUUAAAUUGUAACAUUGAACUAUUAAACUUAACAAUGUUGAAUGAAAGACGUACCACAAAAUAAUUUAGAAUGUAUCCUAUAUCGCAGAAAGAUUAUUGUAAUCCAUUCAAUAAAAAUACAAAGAAAAUCACAAAAAAUUUUGGCGUAGUUACGAUAAAAGAUUCACAAGUCAUGAUGAGAACUAGUUUGAAUAAUGGUCCUGGAAAAAAACAUUGCAAAUCUUGUAAACAAAAGAUUGCCAGAAAAACAGAUCAUAAAGUAGAGAAGUAAAGUCAAGGCGAACAAGAUGAGGAUUUUCUAAUAACAAUUUAAAGAAAAAAGAAAGGAGAUCAAUGAAAAACUCAAAAA